AGGCCCUCUUCUUCUUCCCCCCCACCUUUGCAGCCAAGCUGUAGAGGAGGGCAGUGUUUUUCCCUCUCGCUGUUUAGUGAGAGUGGAUGCGAGGCUCAGCAUUGGAGCAGAGCCAAGUGGAGGAGGCUCGAUUGCUAGGGAGAAAAUUCCCAGGCAAGAACUGGAGACGGACCCCACAAGAGAGAGAGAGGGGCCCAGAGGAUGUUUCUGCCAUGAACUAAAAUGAAGGACAACCAAAAACCCGAGGAGAAAUCAACAUUCUAGGACACAGACACUUGAUAAGCUGAACUACACUGCAGCAGCCUACGAACUGAGGGUCUGUGGCCUGCCCAAGUUCCAGAGAGGUAUUUUUCCUAAAGGUUAGAGCCUCUGUUGCAAGUACCUGAAAUUCUUCAAAGACAUUAUCUCUAUUGCUGGAAGCUCUGGCCUGGAAAUUAAGCAAUCAUGGCUGCUAUUUAGAAACAAUCUGGUGGACUGGUCUGUGUGAGAAAAGAGGAAUUCAGCAUGAAUAUCUUUGUCUGCAUCUACCCAGGGAAGAACUGAAAUUAUAUUCUCUGAUACUGAGACAAAAACUGCAAUGCUGCAUUCAAAUUCAUCCCAAAUUGGUGUGAAAAUACAUGAGUUUCAAUUUAGUGCCUCAGAUUUUUGCCUCAUGAGAAAGCAAGCUGCAGAAAACUGACUGCCUAUGGAAUAUUCAGCAGAGAGAGUAAGAUAGUGUUGGAAGGGAGAGAAUUUCUGUGGUGUCAUUUGGGAAGGCUGCUAAAAAAUAAAGUUCCACAAAAGUAGCAUGUGAGAAUUUGAGCAAAAUAAGCUUUUCAAACUUACCAGGUUAGUGAAAAGAAAAAAGGCCAGAAAAUCGACAUUAUUUAGCACUCCCUUUAGAGGGGCAGCAUGCAUCCAGUGUACAAAUUUUUAACAGAAGAAUCAGUAACCUCUGUCUUCCAUCAGCAUUAUAUCAACACACAAUGUAAUACUUUGAGAGCUGCUGGGAACUGGACUCCCAAUACCUUGGACUGCAUUUCAUGGCUGCUGUAACCAGCUUUGUGUUUUCUUCUACAGGACUUGACAUUCUCGGAAAGUCUCCACUUCUCCCUUGCUGUAUACAAUAUCCAUGGCCACUGCAGCACUCAAACUCUGUGUUUAAAGGCAGCACUUCUAUUCUGAUCAAAGUUUUUUGUGCUUCACUUUGUCACUUGAAUUCUCAUGUCAGUGGCAAAAUGAAAACCCAGCCAUUGACUUUGGUAAAAAUCAAACACCUUGCAUCAUCUUCACAGUAGAACAUCCUUAAAAUAAAAGACCAUUUUUAAAAACAUAGCUUCUGACUAUAUGUUUUA